CACCAACAAACACCUUAAUAUUAUUUCAUAAAACCACUAUAACGCAUUACAGAACAAUUAAAAACUAAACAGAUGAACUCCCAAGUUUACUAUAGCAUAAUCACCCCAGUAAUUAACAGUAUGCACAAAACUAACACAGCUCACACAAUAGAAAAUGUACGUUUUGAAGCACACACAUCAUUCUCCUUAUUGUUUAGUUUCCUGGAAAAUUACCAGGAUGGAUCUUGUUGCUGCUUACUUUACUUGAAGAAGAAGAAGAAGAAGAAGAAGAGACUUUCCUCUCUGCGGUGGAAAUAUUUCGUCCGGUUUUAUUUCUUUCCUCUUCUGCUUUCUUCAGUUUCUCCUUUUCCCUCUCUCUCAUCACAUAUACUGCAGCACAGGCAGCUCCAAUGGAAGACAUGGCUUGAAUGCUAAUUAGAAUCACUCAAAAACCCAAAUCUAUAUUUGUGUUAAAUGUGUAUAUGGUGACAUUAGUAGGAGAGGGUUCGAGGGAAUUUAUAGAACUUGAUAAUUAAGGAGUUGGUGAGUGAUAAGUAAGGUUUGUAUGUACAUUAAUUUUAAUAAUUAAUUAGUGCUUGCAUGUUUAUUUAUGCAUCAUAUCUGACAAACUUGGCA
rnacentral:lncRNA from 1 species